UUCCGGUUGAUCCUGCCGGAGGUCAUUGCUAUUGGAGUCCGAUUUAGCCAUGCUAGUCGUACGAGUUCAGACUCGUGGCGAAUAGCUCAGUAACACGUGGUCAAACUACCCACUGGAGCGCAAUACCCUCGGGAAACUGAGGCUAAUGGCGCAUACGGCUCGCUGCCUGGAACUGGCGCGAGCUCGAAAUGCUCCGGCGCCAGUGGAUGUGGCUGCGGCCGAUUAGGUAGACGGUGGGGUAACGGCCCACCGUGCCGAUAAUCGGUACGGGUCAUGAGAGUGAGAGCCCGGAGACGGAAUUUGAGACAAGAUUCCGGGCCCUACGGGGCGCAGCAGGCGCGAAACCUUUACACUGCACGACAGUGCGAUAAGGGGACUCCAAGUGCGAGGGCAUAUCGUCCUCGCUUUUCACCACCGUUAAGUGUGGUGGUGGAAUA
rnacentral:rRNA from 1 species